rfam:Azospirillum sp. CAG:239 genomic scaffold, scf135
GGCGAGCUGUCCGGUACGUAGUUUCCGCAGAUCUUCCGAGCCAACAUUUUUAUUAAGGGAACUGUCACUGACUAAACCGUGGUUUAAUUAUAUGGUGCCCACUUUGUGAGAAGCGGUUCGAUAAGAAUGUCCCAUACGGCUGAGACGGCCCCUCC